GGGCGACACUGGAUCAUUCCUUCACCUUCACGAAUCACGCAGAGCUUCUGUUUAACACGGUCUUUCUGGUUCUCGAAUUGACAGGAUUUGGUCUUGAUGGGCCUCAAGUUUCGAUGUAAUCAUACUCAAGGAUGGCUGGGCAGACCAAAGGAUGAACGGGCAUAUGGAAGUGUUUAGAACGGCACAGCUAGCGCGGUUCUGUCGCCACUCAACCAACAGCCACCCUCAUAGGGGCAUGAUCCUAGCAACUGGGGGUCAAAGGUCAGCAGAGGUGAGUGAGACUGGAAAGAUCCAGAUUGCUCUGAUGAGUCAGUAUGUGUUUUUGAA